ensembl:misc_RNA 7SK 7SK RNA
GGAUGUGAGGGUGAUCUGGCUGCGACAUCUGUCACCCCAUUGAUCGCCAGGGUUGAUUCAGCUGAUCUGGCUGGCUAGGCAGUGUCCCCUUCCUCCCUCACCGCUCCAUGUGCAUCCCUCCCGAAGCUGCGCGCUUGGUUGAAGAGGACGACCAUCCCUGAUAGAGGACCGGUCUUCGGUCAAGGGUAUACCAGUAGCUGCACUUCCCUGCUAGAACCUCCAGACCAGCUCAGAGCAUGGCCCAGGCUCUUCCCAGGCUGGAAAUCUGCAGGUCUAAUCACUAGGGCCAAUGUGCCACUAAGU